rnacentral:rRNA from 1 species
UACGUAGGGGGCAAGCGUUGUCCGGAAUCAUUGGGCGUAAAGCGCGUGUAGGCGGCCCGAUAAGUCCGCUGUGAAAGUCCAGGGCUCAACCCUGGAAUGCCGGUGGAUACUGUCGGGCUCGAGUCCGGAAGAGGCGAGUGGAAUUCCUGGUGUAGCGGUGAAAUGCGCAGAUAUCAGGAGGAACACCGGUGGCGAAGGCGCUCAUCUGGCCCAAUACUGACGCUGAGGCGCGAAAGCUAGGGGGAGCAAACGGG